rnacentral:rRNA from 1 species
UACGAAGGGGGCUAGCGUUGCUCGGAAUCACUGGGCGUAAAGGGUGCGUAGGCGGGUCUUUAAGUCAGGGGUGAAAUCCUGGAGCUCAACUCCAGAACUGCCUUUGAUACUGAAGAUCUUGAGUUCGGGAGAGGUGAGUGGAACUGCGAGUGUAGAGGUGAAAUUCGUAGAUAUUCGCAAGAACACCAGUGGCGAAGGCGGCUCACUGGCCCGAUACUGACGCUGAGGUGCGAAAGCGUGGGGAGCGAUCCGG